UACGAAGGGGGCUAGCGUUGCUCGGAAUCACUGGGCGUAAAGCGCACGUAGGCGGAUUGUUAAGUCAGGGGUGAAAUCCUGGAGCUCAACUCCAGAACUGCCUUUGAUACUGGCGAUCUUGAGUCCGGGAGAGGUGAGUGGAACUGCGAGUGUAGAGGUGAAAUUCGUAGAUAUUCGCAAGAACACCAGUGGCGAAGGCGGCUCACUGGCCCGGUACUGACGCUGAGGAGCGAAAGCAUGGGGAGCGAACAGG
rnacentral:rRNA from 1 species